rnacentral:rRNA from 1 species
GCAGCGAAACCGCGAGGUCAAGCAAAUCCCAUAAAGUUGUUCUCAGUUCGGAUUGUAGUCUGCAACUCGACUACAUGAAGCUGGAAUCGCUAGUAAUCGUAGAUCAGCAUGCUACGGUGAAUACGUUCCCGGGUCUUGUACACACCGCCCGUCACACCACGAGAGUUUGUAACACCCGAAGCCGGUGGAGUAACCUUUUAGGAGCUAGCCGUCGAAGGUGGGACAAAUGAUUGGGGUGAAGUCGUAACAAGGUAGCCGUAUCGGAAGGUGCGGCUGGAUCACCUCCUUU